GAUGAACGCUAGCUACAGGCUUAACACAUGCAAGUCGAGGGGAAACGACAUUGAAAGCUUGCUUUUGAUGGGCGUCGACCGGCGCACGGGUGAGUAACGCGUAUCCAACCUGCCCAUCACUUGGGAAUAACCUUGCGAAAGUAAGACUAAUACCCAAUGACAUCCCACGAAGACAUCUGAAUGGGAUUAAAGAUUUAUCGGUGAUGGAUGGGGAUGCGUCUGAUUAGCUUGUUGGCGGGGUAACGGCCCACCAAGGCAACGAUCAGUAGGGGUUCUGAGAGGAAGGUCCCCCACAUUGGAACUGAGACACGGUCCAAACUCCUACGGGAGGCAGCAGUGAGGAAUAUUGGUCAAUGGGCGAGAGCCUGAACCAGCCAAGUAGCGUGCAGGAUGACGGCCCUAUGGGUUGUAAACUGCUUUUAUAAGGGAAUAAAGUGGGUCUCGUGAGACUUUUUGCAUGUACCUUAUGAAUAAGGACCGGCUAAUUCCGUG
rnacentral:rRNA from 1 species